GACGAACGCUGGCGGCGUGCUUAACACAUGCCAGUCGAACGAAGAGCUCUGGACGCUUGGCUCUCUCAUUCUUAGUGCCGAAGGAGCUAGUAACGGGUAAUGAACCAGCCCUCGAGAGGGGGACAACAGUUGGAAACGACUGCUAAUACCGCAAACGAUCUAAUCUGGGUAUGGAGGAUAGAGGAAAGGUGGCUUCUACAGGUAAGCUAUCACUGAAGGAGGGUAUUUCGUCUGAUUAGCUAGAUGGAGGGGUAACGGCCAACUGAGGCGAGGAUCAGUAGCCGGUCUGAGAGGAUGAGCUGCCACGUUGGGACUGAGACACGGCCCAGAAUACUACGGGAGGCAGCAGUGGGGGAUCUUCCGGGAUGGACGCAAGUCUGACGGUGCAACGCUGCGUGAGUGAUUACGCCAGCCGGGUCGCGUGACUGUGUAAGGCGGGAGGAAAGGCAUGCUUGCGAAUACUGGGUAGGAUUGACGGUACCGGGAUAAAAAGCCACGGCUAACUACGUG
rnacentral:rRNA from 1 species